rnacentral:rRNA from 1 species
AGAACGAACGCUGGCGGCAUGCCUAAUACAUGCAAGUCGAACGAGAUCUUCGGGUCUAGUGGCGCACGGGUGCGUAACGCGUGGGAAUCUACCCUUGGGUUCGGAAUAACAGUUGGAAACGACUGCUAAUACCGGAUGAUGACGAAAGUCCAAAGAUUUAUCGCCCAGGGAUGAGCCCGCGUAGGAUUAGGCUAGUUGGUGAGGUAAAGGCUCACCAAGGCUACGAUCCUUAGCUGGUCUGAGAGGAUGAUCAGCCACACUGGGACUGAGACACGGCCCAGACU